rnacentral:tRNA from 1 species
GCUGUAGCUCAGUGGUAGAACUUUUGCCUAGCAUGUGUAAGGCACUGGGUUGGAUUCUCAGCACUGCA